GACGAACGCUGGCGGCGUGCUUAACACAUGCAAGUCGAGCGGUAAGGCCCUUUCGGGGGUACGACGAGCGGCGAACGGGUGAGUAACACGUGGGUGACCUGCCCUCAGCUCUGGGAUAAGCCUGGGAAACCGGGUCUAAUACCGGAUAUGACUCCAUGACGCAUGUUGUGGGGUGGAAAGCCUUGUGCGGCUGAGGAUGGGCCCGCGGCCUAUCAGCUUGUUGAUGGGGUGAUGGCCUACCAAGGCGACGACGGGUAGCCGGCCUGAGAGGGCGACCGGCCACACUGGGACUGAGACACGGCCCAGACUCCUACGGGAGGCAGCAGUGGGGAAUCUUGCGCAAUGGGCGAAAAGCCUGACGCAGCGACGCCGCGUGAGGGAUGACGGGCC
rnacentral:rRNA from 1 species